rnacentral:lncRNA from 1 species
UCCGGAUUGUGAUUCCUGUUACUCCUUCAGAUCUUGACCUUUCGCCUGUGUGUUUUUGACUACGAUUCUUGCCUCUCCUUGUGUACUCUCAUUGCUGAUCGCUCGACCAUCGCCUGUCCCACGACUACUCCCUUUUGGAUUGCGCUUGUCUGUUAUAAUAAACAUCGUUUUUGAAGAACUCUGCACUUGAGUCCGUCCUCUCGGAAAGCGAAACCAUGACAGAAGGUUCCACCUCUAAUCAGGACUCAGCAGAGUGUGUCCAGAUGUGUACAGCACUCGCCGCCCAGGGCGCCCUCCUCAGUGCUCACGACCAAACCCUUAAGCGCCUGGGAGAAACAGUAGAGAGACUGAUUCAGGUGCUGCAAGCCAGAGGAAUCAUACAGUCCAUAAUGGUUUCCAUAACGGUCUGAACCCACGGAUCCAGGCUGAGCUGACAUACAGGGGGGAAGAUUGGACCUUUGACCAGUAUGUGGAGACCGCCAUUGCCAUCGAUAAUCUCAGGUGGAAUCGACGGGCUCUCCCCCCUGCAUCUAGGUACAGCGACGUACCUGAGCCCAUCCAGGUAGGGCCGAGCUGGCUGGGUCCAGAGGAGCAGAGGCGUCGCCUGGUGGGGAACCUAUGCCUCUACUGUGGUUCACCAGAACACCUCCAAGCAUCCUGCCCUGUAAGGCCACCCCAGGGGACCUCCAGGGAGUCCAAGGACGUCGAGGGACUUCCUCCACCAGAGAUUCCCCCAGAAUUCGAGGACCUUUGGGAGGUCUUCAGUAAAGCUCAGGCAUCGGAACUCCCACCGCACCGACCCUGGACUGUGGAAUCGAUCUUUUACCAGGAACCACACCUCCCCGGGGUCGGAUAUACCCACUGUCCUUGUCGGAACAGAGGGCCAUGCAAGACUACAUCGUCAAGUCCCUCGCAUCUGGGCUCAUCCGACCAUCCACUUCUCCAGCGUCAUCAGAUUUCUUCUUCAUCAGUAAAAAAGAAGGGGGAUUGCGAUCCUGUAUUGAUUAUCGUGGUUUGAAUGCCAUUCUGGUGAAAUAUCCUCACCCCUUGCCUUUAAUCACAGCUGCCCUAGAAAACAUUCACAGUUCCUCAUGGUUCACUAAGCUUGAUCUCCGUAGUGCUUAUAACUAGAUCCGGAUCUGCGAGGGGGACAAAUGGAAGGCGGCAUUUUCCACCACCCAGG